CCUACGGGAGGCAGCAGUGGGGAAUCUUGCGCAAUGGGCGAAAGCCUGACGCAGCAACGCCGCGUGCGGGAAGAAGGCUUUCGGGCUGUAAACCGCUUUCAGCAGGAACGAAAAUGACGGUACCUGCAGAAGAAGGAGCGGCCAACUAUGUGCCAGCAGCCGCGGUGAUACAUAGGCUUCAAGCGUUGUCCGGAUUUAUUGGGCGUAAAGAGUUCGUAGGCGGUCAAGUAAGUCGGGUGUGAAAAUUCUGGGCUCAACCCAGAGACGCCACCCGAUACUGCUUAACUUGAGUUCGAUAGGGGAGUGGGGAAUUCCUAGUGUAGCGGUGAAAUGCGCAGAUAUUAGGAGGAACACCGGUGGCGAAGGCGCCACUCUGGAUCGAUACUGACGCUGAGGAACGAAAGCAUGGGUAGCAAACAGGAUUAGAUACCCUGGUAGUCCAUGCCGUAAACGGUGGGCACUAGGUGUGGGUUUCUAUUAACGAAAUCCGCGCCGUCGCUAACGCAUUAAGUGCCCGCCUGGGGAGUACGGUCGCAAGACUAAAACUUAAAUAGAAAUUGAACGG
rnacentral:rRNA from 1 species